CAUGCAUCAUUCCCUACUACAAGAAUGAAAAGGCAAAGUGACUAAUCAUUCCCUCACUCAUCGGCGGCGAAAAAACCCCUCACAAGCUCAAACCCGCCGAUCUACCACAACAUCACCUCACAGAAUCUACAGAUUUAAACAAAAGAAAAAUCCACAAACAGAAAGAAAUCAAAGAUCCAGCAAGAGAAAAACAGGUAGAAGGAGAACCGGAGAAUAAUUGUAUUUAGAAAGAAGAUCUGACAUCAGAGAGAGGGAGAGAGUGUGCGUGCAUGUCAGAAAGAGAGAGAAAUUGAAGCGAAUGUUCGAAACCGAAAGGCUCAAAACCGCCAAAAAGCGAUACGAAAUGGAGAGGAAUACAGGAAAUGAAAAAUAGAAAAAAAGAACGAUAGGCUUUGUGUCA
rnacentral:misc_RNA from 1 species